rnacentral:rRNA from 1 species
GACGAACGCUGGCGGCGUGCUUAACACAUGCAAGUCGAACGGAAAGUCCCUGCGUUUGUUGGGUGCUCGAGUGGCGAACGGGUGAGUAACACGUGAGUAACCUGCCCUUGACUUUGGGAUAACUUUAGGAAACUGGGGCUAAUACCGCAUAUGAGCUCCUGCUGCAUGGUGUGGGUUGGAAAGUUUCGGCGUUUGUGGAUGUACUCGCGGCUUAUCAGCUUGUUUGUGGGGUAGUGGCUUACCAAGCCUUUGACGGGUAGCCUGCCUGAGAGGGUGACCGGCCACAUUGGGACUGAGAUACGGACCAGAAUCCUACGGGCGGCAGCAGUGGAGAAUAUUGCACAAUGGGCGGAAGCCUGAUGCAGCAACGCCGCGUGCGGGAUGACGGCCUUCGGGUUGUAAACAGAUUUCGCAUGUGACGAAGCGUGAGUGACGGUAAUGGGUAAAGAAGCACCGGCUAACUACGUG